GUGAAUAUUACAGUGUGUAGCAACAAAUAACCUGAAUAAGUCUCUUUCGUUUGAAUAUUAUUUUUAUUGCUAACAAUUAUUGCACAAAAUCACACAUGGUCUAUUCUUAUGAUAGUUUUGUGUCAUUUUGUAACUUCUUAGUCCCAAUAAGUGUGGGAAAAAAGUACAAUAAGGGUGAGAUUGAGAGCAAAUUAUAUUUUUAUUUUAAGGUGAACUAUUUCUUUAAAUUACAUUGGUUCGCUCUAAGUGGUCUCUCGUCGAAUAAGAAUGCUCUAUUUGACGUAACCCCGCCUUCGUUAGUCCGUACUGUUCACCGAUUGGUUGGGAAAACUGUAUGUCACUCAUCUUGAACGAUACAGGAAUUUAAAAUACGGAAUAAAAGCAGCGCAUGAAGAGUCGCACGGGAAUACUGCGGCUUUGUUUUGUUUGGUUUGGAAUUAUUAUCCUUUUGUUUUAUUUUCAUAAUACUUGUACAGAUACCUCAGUGGUCGAUGAAUUAAAGAGCCCGCCUUUGACUGCUUAAUACAAUGAGUUUUUAAAUUUCCAUAUUGCUCCAUAUGGGAGUGUUCAUUCAUCAAGUGUUAAAGAAUUAAAGAUCAAUACUGUAAAAUACUGGCUUCAGUACUGUAAAAUAACCAAUGGAUUGCAUAAGUCCCAUGCAGAAUAAGAGAAGACACAGUGGAGAGCUGGAGCAGGGGCACAACCAGUCGAAAAGGCUGUGUAAUGGUCUGGGAGGUUGUGGCCGGGUUGAAUACGGUGCGGUGAUGGAAACCCAGAUGGACACGUGGGAUGCCCAAAAUCACAGCCCUCAAAAUGGACACAGCGCCAGCGUCCCCGGCAUGCAGGUGUUACCCACCCCAGGACGCGGAGCAGGACAGUAUUGCCCCAGGUGUAUGGCAGGUGAACCUGGCCAUAUAAACCACAUCAAGAGAUAUUGAUCAGCAUUGCCGAUGACUCCUGGAGAAAAUGAAUCGACUGAAUAAACGGCCGAUGCAGAGAAGCAAUCUGCAGUUUAUCCGUACCGUGUGGGUUUUUUCCCGCAUGCUUUGUGCCUUCCAUGCAUUUUCCAACUGGCCUCACCUAACUACAGUAGUACCUAUUAUUGUUUCGUAGCAGUGAGGUUUACUUUACCAAGAACACUCCGGUGGUAAAAAAAAAGAAAAGGCCAUGAAUGAUGGUUUAGAUCACACUUUUAGUGAAGUGUUUUGAGAUUUUUGCACUGUCCAUUUUUCAGUGUUGCAUGGUCUUGAUUUUCAAGAAGGAAUUACUGCUGUAAAUGCAAUGUUAGCAAACUCUGUGAAACUAUAUGCACAAAUAAUCUCUUUUAUACUAUAUUUCUAAAAAAUGUAAUUAUUAAAUCACUUUCAGGAUUAAAUGUCAUUUCACAUGUAGAUUUUAUUUUUAAGAAUGUUUGUGGUUUCACAUUUCAGUUGCAUUCAGUUUGGUAGUUAAAUGUCCAGAAAUCUAUGUCAGGUUCAUUUUAGUAGAUAUAUUGUCACUGUGUUGUUCUUAUCCCAAAUAGAUUUGUCUUUUGUUUUGUUUUCCUUUGUAGAAGACAUUUCAGUGUAUUCACUGAUUUUAACCUAUUUUGUAUCCUUUAUAAACCAAUCCAGAAUAUUUUGCAUAAAAUCUAAUUUGAUUAAAGCUUUUGUGUGUUUUUU
ensembl:lncRNA